AUGUGGACCCGUCUUCGUCAGUGCUAUGAGCCCUCUGGUGAUGCCUUAUACCUCUCUGUGGUCCGUUAGGAGCAUACUCUUCAGCAGGAUGAUUCUACUGUUGAUGACUUCUAUGCACAGAGUUCUGCUAUCUGACGCUAGCUUGAUUCUCUCUGUAGUGCUGGUUGUAGUACUUGCCCCUGUUGCCAGGCUGUCCGGGACAAUUUGGAGUUUCAUCGCGUCUACGAGUUCCUGUCUCGGCUCUGUAAGGAGUUUGAGCCCCGGCGUGCUCAGUUGUUUGCUCGUGGUCGUAUUUCCCUCAUGGAGGCACUUUCUGAGAUUCGUGCUGAGGAGACUCGCUUACGUGGUGAUGGUUUGCUGGAGGUUCCCUCUGUGCUCGCUACUCGGUCUUCUUCCAUGCCACCUGCUGCACCGACCCCUUCUCGCUCGAGUGCUCCGCCACUCUUGCCCACUCCUUCUGGAGGCUCAGGUCGCCCCCGUCCACAUUGCGACUACUGCAACAAUGAUGGUCAUGUUGAGUCCCAGUGCUACACAAAGAGGAAACACAUGCGCAAGGUGCGAUCAUCAUCUUCAGGGACUUCAUCA
rnacentral:rRNA from 1 species